rnacentral:lncRNA from 1 species
UAUUUUAUUUAAUUCACUAUUUAAUUUAUUUUAUUCACUACUUUAUUAUAAAAUAAUAAGACAAAAAUAUAACUUUUUUGGAUGUUAAGCAGAAAGAAGCUUUUGUUUCAGAACUCUGGUUGCAGUUGGACAACUUCCCAGGGAGAGAAAGGAAGAGGGCGUGGCUGACGAAGUCAGCAGGGGAAAAGGGAGGAGCCCCCUUCUGAUUGAUCAACUUCAGAUUGGUCAGAGCAGGUGCUUAGUAAAAACUGUCAUUUUAAAAAGAUUUUAUUAA